rnacentral:rRNA from 1 species
AUUGAACGCUGGCGGCAUGCCUUACACAUGCAAGUCGAACGUGAAAGCGGGGGCAACCCGCAAGUAGAGUGGCGGACGGGUGAGUAAUACAUCGGAACGUGUCCAGUAAUGGGGGAUAACCUAGCGAAAGUUAGGCUAAUACCGCAUACGAUCUGCGGAUGAAAGCGGGGGGAUGCGGCACUAAAGGCUUUGGCGAAGGUGGCCAAAGGUGAGUCGAGAGCUUUAGUGCUGCACCUCGCGUUAUUGGAGCGGCUGAUGUCUGAUUAGCUAGUUGGUGAGGUAAAGGCUUACCAAGGCGACGAUCAGUAGCUGGUCUGAGAGGACGGCCAGCCAC